UACGUAGGGGGCUAGCGUUGUCCGGAAUCAUUGGGCGUAAAGAGCGUGUAGGCGGCCCGGUAAGUCCGCUGUGAAAGUCGGGGGCUCAACCCUCGAAUGCCGGUGGAUACUGUCGGGCUAGAGUGCGGAAGAGGCGAGUGGAAGUUCCUGGUGUAGCGGUGAAAUGACGCAGAUAUCAGGAGGAACACCAAUUGCGAAGGCAGCUCGCUGGGACGUAACUGACGCUGAGACGCGAAAGCGUGGGGAGCAAACAGG
rnacentral:rRNA from 1 species